GACGAACGCUGGCGGCGUGCUUAACACAUGCAAGUCGAACGGUGAAAGCGGAGCUUGCUCCGCUGGGUCAGUGGCGAACGGGUGAGUAACACGUGGGCAACCUGCCCCUCACUUCGGGAUAACUCCGGGAAACCGGGGCUAAUACCGGAUAUGACCUCCUUGGGCAUCCUUGGAGGUGGAAAGUUUUUCGGUGAGGGAUGGGCCCGCGGCCUAUCAGCUUGUUGGUGAGGUAGUGGCUCACCAAGGCGACGACGGGUAGCCGGCCUGAGAGGGCGACCGGCCACAGUGGGACUGGGACACGGCCCAGACUCCUACGGGAGGCAGCAGUGGGGAAUAUUGCGCAAUGGGCGAAAGCCUGACGCAGCAACGCCGCGUGCGGGAUGACGGCCUUCGGGUUGUAAACCGCUUUCAGCAGGGAAGAAGCCGCAAGGUGACGGUACCUGCAGAAGAAGCACCGGCUAACUACGUGCCAGCCGCCGCCGUAA
rnacentral:rRNA from 1 species